CGAUGUCUAAAGGAGUAAUCCGCUUUGGAAGGGGCUUGCGUCCCAUCAGCUUAGUUGGUAGGGUAAUGGCCNANCAAGGCGACNACGGGUAGNGGNCCUGAGAGGGUGGCCCCCCACAAUGGAACUUGAAACNCGGUCCAUACACCUACGGGUGGCAGCAGUAGGGAAUAUUGCACAAUGGGCGAAAGCCUGAUGCAGCAACGCCGCGUGCGCNAAGAAGGUCUUCGGAUCGUAAAGCGCUUUUCUGCGAGAUNAGAAAGGACAGUAUCGUAGGAAUAAGUCUCGGCUAACUACGUGCCAGCANCCGCGGUAACACGUAGGAGGCAAGCGUUAUCCGGAUUUACUGGGCGUAAAGCGCGUGCAGNCGGUUCGGUAAGUUGGAUGUNAAAGCUCCCGGCUCAACCGGNANAGGCCGUUCAAAACUGCCGGNCUANAGGACNAUAGAGGGGGGUGGAAUUCCCGGUGUAGUGGUNAAAUGCGUAGAUAUCGGGAGGA
rnacentral:rRNA from 1 species